rnacentral:lncRNA from 1 species
AUGUAAUUAGCAUCUCAUUAGUUGUCCGCUCGGGCUCGGAAGGCAGCCACUGCCGCCAGUCUGAGGCAGGUGCCCGACAUGGCGAGUGCUGUGCUGCCGAGCGGAUCCCAGUGUGCGGCGGCAGCGGCUGUGGCGGCGGCGGCGGCGCCUCCAGGGCUUCGGCUCCGGCUCCUGCUGUUGCUCCUCUCCGCAGCGGCUCUGAUCCCCACAGGUAGGUGUUGGUACCGGCCAGUUGGCCCCGAAACCUCCCCAGGCACCCCAGUAGCCGUAGCCAUGGAGGGGGGGAAACGUUUCCAUGACAACCUCCCCCCACUUCCUAAAUCCGAAGCGGAGGGAGUGUGGAGAGAAAACUCCACGGCUGAGAUGGAAGGGGCUGAGGGAAUCGCUGCUCCCCUUCCCUGCCCGGCUGGUUAUGAAUGAGAGCCCUCAGGGAUGGCUGCACCCACACCUUUUCUCCCUGGCUUGGCGCGAGGUGCGGAGUGGAG